AUGAAUCUCAUUUUUGCUAAAUACCUCCGCAAGUUUGUGAUAGUCUUCCUGGACGAUAUCUUGGUCUACAGUUCAUCUUGGGCAGAGCAUUUAGAGCAUCUGCGUCUGGUGUUCGAAACACUUCGUCAGGCUCAAUUCUUUGCUAAGUUAUCCAAGUGUUCUUUUGGGCAGAACAGUAUUCAGUAUCUUGGCCAUAUUAUCUCUGAUUCCGGUGUUGCAACCGAUCCCGAGAAAACAGUGGUGAUGGAACAGUGGCCAAUUCCUAAGACAGCAACUGAACUACGAGGAUUCCUUGACCUAACAGGUUAUUACCGUAAAUUUGUUAAACAUUAUAGUCUGAUUGCUAAACCACUGUCUCAACUUCUGACCAAAAAGGGUUUCUACUGGAAUGAACAAGCAACACAAGCAUUUCUUGCUCUGAAACAAGCUAUGGCACAGGCACCUGUCCUGGCAUUGCCCAACUUUUCCGAGCCCUUCACCGUGGAAACUGACGCUUGUGGCACUGGAGUGGGGGCAGUGUUAAUGCAGAAAGGGCAUCCAAUUGCAUACAUGAGCAAGCCUCUUGGGAUACUUAACUGUAAAAUGUCCAUCUAUGAAAAAGAAUUCCUUGCUGUGAUUAUGGCUGUGGAUAAGUGGCGUCCUUAUUUACAGUGCGGCCCAUUUCAGAUAGUCACCGAUCAUAAGAGCCUCUGCAACCUAGAGGAUCAAAUUUUGACUACUGAUUUGCAACGCAAGGCAAUGGCCAAGCUCGUGGGUUUACAGUUUCAGAUUAAGUACAGAAAGGGAAGUUAUAACGGUGCUGCCGAUUCCUUGUCUCGAGUGGGCCAUUUAUUGGAAACACAUGCCAUUUCCACCUUGCAACCUGAUUGGGUCCAGGAGGUUUCCAAUUCCUAUGUCACUGACACAGUGGCCACUCAGUUAUUACAAGAAUUGGCAAUUCAAUCUCCUAAUGCAAAAGGUUAUGCAUUGAAGAAAGGCCUAAUUACUUACAAAGGCAGAAUGUAUAUUGGUGCAAAUCUUGCCCUACAAACUAAGCUGAUAGCAGCUCACCAUGAUACUGCAGUGGGAGGCCAUUCAGGUAUUCAAGCCACAUACCACAGAUUGAAGCAGCUGUAUUAUUGGCCAGGUCUUAAGGUUGCCGUGGAAAAUUAUAUCCAUCAAUGUAUAGUGUGUCAACAAGCAAAACACACUAAUACAAAACCAGCUGGCCUUCUGCAACCCUUGCCACCCCCGACAGUCCUUGGACUGAAUUGA
rnacentral:rRNA from 1 species